rnacentral:misc_RNA from 1 species
GCAUACUAUGAAAGUUGUGACAAUUGCUCCUCUCCCAACAUACAACAUUCCAACAAUUGCCAAUAGGAUGACAAGGAGAACAAGCAAUGCGAGCUGGGCACCUGUACCAACAACAGCUGAAAGAAUUACUAAGUUACGAGGAGGCCGGAAAACAUCCCCAUGCACAAGUUUCCAACCAGACUCUUCACUAACAUCUCGCUCCAGAGUUUCCAGAUCAUCAUCUUCACGUGCAUAUUUAGCAUAGUCAUUUCUAAGAGUCCG